rnacentral:rRNA from 1 species
UACGUAGGGGGCGAGCGUUGUCCGGAUUUACUGGGCGUAAAAGGUUCGUAGGUGGCUCGUCCAGUCGAGCGUGAAAUCUCCCGGCUUAACUGGGAGAGGUCGUUCGAUACUAGCGGGCUCGAGGUCGGUAGAGGGAAGCGGAAUUCCGGGUGUAGUGGUGGAAUACGUAGAUAUCCGGAGGAACACCAGUGGCGAAGGCGGCUUCCUGGACCGAUUCUGACACUGAGGAACGAAAGCGUGGGGAGCGAGCCGG